rnacentral:rRNA from 1 species
UACGAAGGGGGCUAGCGUUGCUCGGAAUUACUGGGCGUAAAGCGCACGUAGGCGGCUUUCUAAGUCGGGGGUGAAAUCCUGGAGCUCAACUCCAGAACUGCCUUCGAUACUGGAAAGCUCGAGUCCGGGAGAGGUGAGUGGAACUGCGAGUGUAGAGGUGAAAUUCGUAGAUAUUCGCAAGAACACCAGUGGCGAAGGCGGCUCACUGGCCCGGUACUGACGCUGAGGCGCGAAAGCGUGGGUAGCAAACAGG